CGCGUAGGCGGCCAGGUAAGUCGGAUGUGAAAGCCCUCGGCUUAACCGAGGUUCCGCACCCGAAACUGCCCGGCUCGAGUCUAGGAGAGGAGAGUGGAAUUCCCAGUGUAGCGGUGAAAUGCGUAGAUAUUGGGAGGAACACCGGUGGCGAAGGCGGCUCUCUGGACUAGUACUGACGCUGAGGCGCGAAAGCUAGGGGAGCGAACGGGAUUAGAUACCCCGGUAGUCCUAGCCGUAAACGAUGGGCACUAGGUGUGGGAGGUAUCGACCCCUUCCGUGCCGCAGCUAACGCAUUAAGUGCCCCGCCUGGGGAGUACGGCCGCAAGGUUGAA
rnacentral:rRNA from 1 species